UGUCAUGACCCUAGUCGUGACAGAAUAGCUGUAGUAAUUAACAACUUCUGAGAGGGUAGUAAUGAUAUAAUGUAAUGUAAAAUGAGAGAGGAGAUGAGGACACGUGUGUGCAGAUCCGUAUUUCUAGGUUUCUGUUAGAAGAGAGAAAUGCUAUAAGCAUGAGUGAAUGUAAUAGCUUGAAACCCAAGUUUUAUGAAGAAAGAUCAAUAGGCUCAGUUUCUUGGAAACUUGAGAAAAGUUCCUCAAAAGGUUAUUAAUCUUUCCAGUUUAUUUGUUAAUUUGAUCAUAAAGUAAGGUAAAUCCUUACAAUUGGUAUCAGAUUCACGAUUCUGGCACCGGAUUCAUGACUCUUAAGGAGGUAGUGUGUUUAGCUAAAGAAAACCGAUCUAAGCUCGAUAAGUUUCUGAAGGAGGUUUCUAUGAAGGUAUCGUUUGUUUUUUCUUCAGUUAAGCACUGAAUACUCAUUAAGUUCUGAAGAUCACUUAAUACAUUAAGUCAUUAAGUGAUCCAUUCUACCAAAUUUGAUGUCUGAAUGACUUAACUGAACUUUUAGCUGAUGAAAUAGAUUAAGUACUUAAUGGUUAGUAGAAAACAAACAGUCUGAAGACUGAAUACGGUGGUCCACCCACUUAAGUUCAGUCAUUCAGACUGCUGAAUGAAAAACAAACACCACCUUAGUAAUCGCGUCGAUGAGAACACAACGCAGUUUUCAAAACUCAGUGAUCGUGUUGAUGCGAAUACGAAGUCGAUGGAAGAUCGUUUUUCCAAACUUUUCAGGUUAUUGGGUUCGGAUACUGAUAAAGGCAAAGAUCCUAUGGAUCCUCAGGUUUCUCAUGGUGUUCGAUUUGUCGCGGAUUACAGUACAGUGCCUCCGUCAUCAUCUUCUCAUCCGCCUUUCAUCACUAAUGAUUUUCACGGAGGUUUUCUUUAUCAGCCGCAGUUCGAAUUCCCCAGAUUCGACGGUACAAACCCUCGAGCAUGGCUUCGCAAAUGUCAACGCUUCUUCUCGCUCCAUCUUAUGGAUAAUAAUCAACGCAUCGCAGUUGCUUCGUUGUAUUUAGAAGGCAAGGCUGAUGCGUGGUUUUUGGAUUAUCAAGUUGGUAAGGGUUUUAUUGAUUGGGCGAUUUUCAGUGAAGAUGUUUGUGCUCGAUUUGAAGAUAUUCGUCAUGGUAACUAUGUGGGUAAUUUCAACAAACUUUUUCAAUCUGGUUCCGUGGAAGAGUAUUUUACACAGUUUGAAGAACUCAAGUCCUAUAUGGUAAGCAAGAAUCCUUCCUUAUCUUCUGAAUACUUUGUUCUUAGUUUUUUGAGUGGCCUUAAGAAGGAAAUUAAAUCCUACAUUCAAAUGUUUAAACCCACUACUUUGAAUGAAGCUUUUGAACUUGCUCAAAUGCGAGAAGAGGUGCUUGAUGAUCAAUUACCCAAACCAAAAUCCCUUUUCAAAUCCCCAACAAACAACACUUCCUAUUUUCAUACACACAACUCCAGUCAUAAUUCAUCAACUUUUUCCUCAUCGGUUCCUUCUAAAACCAUAUCCUUCACUAAAUCUACCUCACCUUCCAAUACCAAUUUAUCCACUACUAGCCAUCCUAAAUCUAAUACUACCAUACCUCCAAUCAAGCGCCUCACUGCCUCUCAAAUGAAAUUCAGAAGGGACCAAGGCGUUUGUCACAACUGUGAUGAAAAGUACAAACCCGGUCAUACUUGUAAAACUCAACACUUAUACAUGUUAGUAGCAAAUGAAAAUUCUGAUACAAGUAGUUAUGAGGAUAUUCAAGUUGCUGCUGCGGAGGAAAUUGAAUUAGUAGAAUCUGAUAUGGAAAUCUCAGUCAAUGCAUUGACAGGCCAAGUAGGUACUCACACAAUUCGAAUUGUGGGCACUAUUAAAAACGUCAAAGUUACAAUUCUUAUUGAUUCGGGCAGUACCCAUAACUUCAUUGAUCAAGAGGUUGCUCGACAAAUUGGAUUGGUAGCUGAUCCUACAGCACAUAUGUUAGUUGGCAUUGCUAAUGGAGCUAAAACAGUCAGUCAAGGCAUUUGCAAUAAGUUAUCAUGGGAUAUGCAAGGUCAUUCUGUGAUAUGGUGGUUGGAGCUGACUGGCUUAAAACCUUGGGAGACAUUUUGUUCAAUUUUCAGAAACUUAUCAUGUCUUUUAAAUGGAAAGGCAAGAAAAUUACAUUAAGGGGGGAUACUGAAACUGCUUCUCUUAAAAUGAUGUCUGGGAAUGCUUUCAAGAGGUUGUUAAAGAAAAAUGCUCACGGAUUGAUGGGUAGCUUGUUCUCCAUUACUGCUACUACCAUAUCAGAAACUAUUCCACCACCUGUCAGUACAGUAUUGCAGGAAUUUCAAGACGUGUUUCAAGAACCAAAAGCUCUCCCACCUCUUAGAGCGUUGGAUCAUCAUAUCCCUCUUCAACCAUUGGCUGGUCCCACCAAUCAGAGGCCAUACCGAUAUCCUUACGUCCAGAAAGCUGUAAUUGAACAGUUGGUGCAAGAAAUGUUGUCUUCAGGAAUUAUUCAGCCCAGCCACAGUCCAUUUGCAUCACCUGUCAUAUUGGUUAAAAAAAAGGAUGGGUCAUGGAGGUUUUGUGUGGACUACAGGCAAUUGAAUGCCAUCACAGUAAAAGACAAGUUUCCUAUGCCGAUCAUCGAUGAGCUAUUAGAUGAGCUUCAUGGAGCCAAGGUAUUUUCUAAAAUUGAUCUUCGGUCUGGAUACCAUCAUAUACGAGUCCAAGAUGCAGAUAUUUAUAAGACAGCUUUUCGAACUCACCACGGCCAUUAUGAGUUUAAAGUCAUGCCCUUUGGUCUCACCAAUGCCCCUGCUACUUUUCAAGCCUUGAUGAACAACAUUUUUCAGCCUUUUUUAAGGAAGUCAGUACUUGUCUUUUUUGAUGACAUACUAGUUUAUAGUGCUAGUUUGAGUGAUCAUUUAGUGCAUCUCAAACAAACACUACAACUUCUUAGAGACCACACCCUCUUUGCUAAGCUUUCUAAAUGUUCUUUUGCUCAGCCUCAACUAGAGUAUUUGGGACAUCUCAUUUCAGGUUUAGGGGUAGCUGCAGAUCCCUCAAAUAUUGUAGCUAUGACUAAUUGGCCUAAACCCAAGAAUUUAAAAGGGUUGAGGGGUUUUCUAGGCCUCACAGGCUAUUACCGCCGAUUCGUCAAAGGGUAUGGUCAGAUAUGUCAACCUCUCACUGAUAUGUUAAAGAAAGACAACUUCAUUUGGACCCCUGCUGCAGAUAGAGCUUUUGAGCAACUCAAGAUAGCCAUGACUACAACUCCUGUCCUCACAUUACCAGAUUACACUCAACCCUUUAUUCUGGAAACUGAUGCAUGCGCACGGGGUGUGGGUGCAGUUUUGAUGCAAAGUGGGAGACCUAUAGCCUAUUUCAGUAAGGCUUUGGGUCCUAAAGCUUUGGGCUUCUCCACUUAUGAGAAAAAACUCCUCGCCAUAGUAUUGGCAGUCACUAAAUGGAGAUCCUACUUGUUGGGUCAUUUUUUCAUCAUCAACACUGAUCAACAAAGCAUUAAGUUUUUUAUGGAGCAGCGAUUAACUACAUUACUUCAACAAAGAUGGUUAACAAAACUUCUUGGCUUUGACUAUGUGAUAAAAUACAAGAAAGGUGCAGACAACAGGGUUGCUGAUGCCUUGUCUAGAGUUGUGGAUGAGGAAGGCAGCUGUCAGGUUCUGAGUGCAGUACAACCUAGCUGGACGCAAGAGGUAAUUGCUAGUUAUACCAAUGAUCCUCUCACUACCUAGUUAAUUUCUCAGUUGCUUAUUGCUGCAAAUAGUGUCAAAAAUUACUCUUACAUUAAUGGGCUUCUCCGAUAUAAGACACGAAUUUACAUUGGUAGUAACACCGAUUUGCGUUCCAAGCUUUUACACUCUAUUCAUAGUUCUACAAUAGGUGGUCAUUCAGGUAUUCAAGGGAGUUAUCAAAGAGCAAAAUUGUAUUUUGCAUGGCCAGGCCUCAAGAAGGAUGUUAUGCAGUUUGUGACUCAAUGUGACGUAUGUCAGAGAUCUAAGUCCGAACACAUCAGACCUGCUGGUCUCUUGCAGCCAUUGCCUAUUCCAGACCAUGCCUGGCAACACAUAGCUAUGGACUUCAUUGAAGGGUUGCCCAAGUCUGAAGGGAAAAAUGUCAUUCUAGUGGUGGUGGACAGACUUACUAAAUACAGACAUUUCAUUCCAUUAUCUCAUCCCUUCUCAGCUAUUCAGGUAGCAAAAAAAUUUCUUGAUAAUAUUUUUAAAUUACAUGGACUCUCUCUAUUGUGUCAGAUAGGGAUCAGAUUUUCGUCAGUGCUUCUUGGCAAGAACUAUUCAAAUGUCUGGGUACUAAGCUUCACCACAGUACCGCCUACCAUCCACAAACUGAUGGACAGUCUGAGCGCACAAAUUCUUGUUUGGAGCAAUAUCUCUGGUGCAUGACCAGUCAUCGACCCACCUCUUGGGCUAAAUGGAUAGCUUUGGCCGAAUGGUGGUUUAAUUCAAAUUACCACUCUAGUCUAAAUAUGUCACCUUUCAAGGCUCUCUAUGGCUACUCUCCCCCACAUUUGGCUUUUCCUUCUGACAUUACUUCAAAGGUAGCAGAGGUUUCUGAUUACUUGAAACACAGGGAGAUUCUCUUGGAUGUUGUGAAGGAUGGGCUACAUCAAGCACAAGAGAGAAUGAAGUGGUUUGCCGACAAUAAGAGGACUGACAGAAGCUUUCAGGCGGGAGACUGGGUCUAUCUCAGGUUGCAGCCAUAUCGUCAGACUUCUGUGGCUAUCAGACGCAACCUCAAGUUAUCAGCAAAAUUCUAUGGUCCAUUCCAAAUUAGUGCUAAGAUAGGUGGGGUGGCCUACAAGCUCUUAUUACCUGCUGGGUCCAAGAUUCAUCCUGUUUUCCACAUCUCUCAAUUGAUGCCAAAGCUAGGUACUUCUGUGACUCCUAUGCCUCAACUGCCCUUGCUAACUCCAGAAGGUGAAUUAGUGAUGGAACCUAAGGCAAUUCUAGAUCGUCGGAUCAUUCCAAGGAACAAUAAAGCUGUAACUCAAGUUCUGAUUCAAUGGUCUAACUCCCUUCCUGAAGACUCUACAUGGGAGGAUUGGUCCAACAUUCAUGCACACUUUCCACAGUUUAAUCCUUGAGGACAAGGAUAGUUUUAAGAGGGGUCAUGACUACAGAAUAGCUGUAGUAAUUAACAACUUCUGAGAGGGUAGUAAUGAUAUAAUGUAAUGUAAAAUGAGAGAGGAGAUGAGGACACGUGUGUGCAGAUCCGUAUUUCUAGGUUUCUGUUAGAAGAGAGAAAUGCUAUAAGCAUGAGUGAAUGUAAUAGCUUGAAACCCAAGUUUUAUGAAGAAAGAUAUUAGGCUCAGUUUCUUGGAAACUUGAGAAAAGUUCCUCAAAAGGUUAUUAAUCUUUCCAGUUUAUUUGUUAAUUUGAUCAUAAAGUAAGGUAAAUCCUUACACCUUUGCUUGUUACUUGUUUUACAAUGAUAAUCAAUAUUUACAUUCACAAGAAGGAAAUAAC
rnacentral:lncRNA from 1 species